CGCAUCUGUGCAUGCAGCAUAUCAAUAAGCGGAGGAAAAGAAACUAACAAGGAUUCCCCUAGUAACGGCGAGUGAAGCGGGAAGAGCUCAAAUUUGAAAUCUUAAAGGGUUUCCCUUUACGAAUUGUAGUUUAAAGAAGUGUUUUCUGUUGAGGUUUUGGUAAAAGUUCUUUGGAAUAGGACAUCAUAGAGGGUGAGAAUCCCGUAUUUGACCUUUACUUUCAACUUUGUGAUACACUUUCAAAGAGUCGGAUCGUUUGGGAAUGCAGUCCAAAAUGGGUGGUAAAUUUCAUCUAAAGCUAAAUAUUGGCGAGAGACCGAUAGCGAACAAGUACCGUGAGGGAAAGAUGAAAAGAACUUUGAAAAGAGAGUUAAACAGUACGUGAAAUUGUCAAAAGGGAAGCGUUUGACACCAGUGUUGUUUUUCUGAAAAUCAAUUAAAGAACUGUUUAUGCUAAGCUGUUUAGACUUUAUCAGCUAUCUGUUUAGUUUUGAGCUUUUCUUUAAUGCACUUUUCAGUUAACAAGUCAACAUCAAUUUCUUUUGCUGUAAAAAAGCUUGAGGAAGGUGGCUUGAGAUUCGUCUUAAGUGUUUAUAGCCUCUUGCCUAUGCAGUCGGAGAGAUUGAGGUCUGCAGGCGUAGAUCCUUCGGGGCUAAAUGCAUUUGUGCUAAGUUAUAGCAUUUUAUAGACAACUUGUUGACUAUGAUUUGUCUUGUAGCUUACUCGCUUAUGUUAUUUUACCUACGCUUAGGAUGUUGAAUCUGUGCGAGACUAC
rnacentral:rRNA from 1 species